rnacentral:rRNA from 1 species
ACGGGUGAGUAACGCGUAAGAACCUGCCUUAUAGACUGGGAUACCCAAGGGAAACUUUGGUUAAUACCGGAUGAACUCGCGAGAGGAAAGCUGCCGUAAGGUGGCGUUAUAAGAGGGGCUUGCGUCCGAUUAGCUAGUUGGUAGGGUAAUAGCCUACCAAGGCGAUGAUCGGUAACUGGUCUGAGAGGACGACCAGUCACACUGGGACUGAGACACGGCCCAGACUCCUACGGGAGGCAGCAGUGGGGAAUAUUGGACAAUGGGGGGAACCCUGAUCCAGCGAUGCCGCGUGGGUGAAGAAGGCCUUCGGGUUGUAAAGCCCUUUAGGUUGGGAAGAAGUUGAUAGCGUGAAUAGCGCUGUUGAUUGACGGUACCGACAGAAUAAGCACCGGCAAACUCUGUGCCAGCAGCCGCGGUAAUACAGAGGGUGCGAGCGUUAAUCGGAAUAACUGGGCGUAAAGGGCGCGUAGGUGGUUUCAAGAGUGUGAUGUGAAAGCCCUGGGCUUAACCUAGGAAGUGCAUCGCAAACGUUGGAACUGGAGUAUGGUAGAGGGCAGCGGAAUUUCCGGUGUAGCAGU